AAGGAAGGACCUCCCUGGGGCAGAGGCUGAGAGGAAGAGCCUCCCCGGGGCAGAGGUGUGACAGCUGAGCCAGAGCCAGGGGGCAGGGGAAGGUUGGGGGGUCCCUCGGCGUGUUUGUCAGCCCUGACCUCAGUGUGGGAGAACUGUGUGUGGCUCCCACACCAGAAAGGAGAGAGACACCGGGCCAGCUGCUCCUUUGAGAAUCUGCUGCAUAUGGAGGAGCAUGAUUUUUGGAAUGAGCAUAUGGUUUUGGAACCCAAAAAUGUGUGCUGCGAUCCUGAUACCCUUAUUGCGGACACAAAAUAAAGUGAGAGAAGAUGGAUCGCGC
rnacentral:lncRNA from 1 species